rnacentral:rRNA from 1 species
UGCCAGCAGCCGCGGUAAUACGGAGGGGGUUAGCGUUGUUCGGAAUUACUGGGCGUAAAGCGCACGUAGGCGGACUGGAAAGUUGGGGGUGAAAUCCCGGGGCUCAACCUCGGAACUGCCUCCAAAACUACUAGUCUAGAGUUCGAGAGAGGUGAGUGGAAUUCCGAGUGUAGAGGUGAAAUUCGUAGAUAUUCGGAGGAACACCAGUGGCGAAGGCGGCUCUCUGGGUCGAUAUUGACGCUGAGGCGCGAAGGCGUGGGUAGCGAACGGGAUUAGAUA